AGCGAACGCUGGCGGCAGGCCUAACGCAUGCAAGUCGAACGAACUCUUCGGAGUUAGUGGCGGACGGGUGAGUAACACGUGGGAACGUGCCUUUAGGUUCGGAAUAACUCAGGGAAACUUGUGCUAAUACCGAAUGUGCCCUUCGGGGGAAAGAUUUAUCGCCUUUAGAGCGGCCCGCGUCUGAUUAGCUAGUUGGUGAGGUAAAGGCCCACCAAGGCGACGAUCAGUAGCUGGUCUGAGAGGAUGAUCAGCCACAUUGGGACUGAGACACGGCCCAAACUCCUACGGGAGGCAGCAGUGGGGAAUCUUGCGCAAUGGGCGAAAGCCUGACGCAGCCAUGCCGCGUGAAUGAUGAAGGUCUUAGGAUUGUAAAAUUCUUUCACCGGGGACGAUAAUGACGGUACCCGGAGAAGAAGCCCCGGCUAACUUCGUG
rnacentral:rRNA from 1 species